AUUGAACGCUGGCGGCAGGCCUAACACAUGCAAGUCGAGCGGUAGCACAGGAGAGCUUGCUCUCCGGGUGACGAGCGGCGGACGGGUGUGUAAUGUCUGGGAAACUGCCUGAUGGAGGGGGAUAACUACUGGAAACGGUAGCUAAUACCGCAUAACGUCGCAAGACCAAAGAGGGGGACCUUCGGGCCUCUUGCCAUCAGAUGUGCCCAGAUGGGAUUAGCUAGUAGGUGGGGUAACGGCUCACCUAGGCGACGAUCCCUAGCUGGUCUGAGAGGAUGACCAGCCACACUGGAACUGAGACACGGUCCAGACUCCUACGGGAGGCAGCAGUGGGGAAUAUUGCACAAUGGGCGCAAGCCUGAUGCAGCCAUGCCGCGUGUAUGAAGAAGGCCUUCGGGUUGUAAAGUACUUUCAGCGGGGAGGAAGGUGUUGUGGUUAAUAACCACAGCAAUUGACGUUACCCGCAGAAGAAGCACCGGCUAACUCCGUGCCAGCCGCCGCGGUAACAC
rnacentral:rRNA from 1 species